rnacentral:rRNA from 1 species
AUCCAGACUCCUACGGGAGGCAGCAGUGGGGAAUAUUGCACAAUGGGGGAAACCCUGAUGCAGCGACGCCGCGUGAGCGAUGAAGUAUUUCGGUAUGUAAAGCUCUAUCAGCAGGGAAGAAAAUGACGGUACCUGACUAAGAAGCCCCGGCUAACUACGUGCCAGCAGCCGCGGUAAUACGUAGGGGGCAAGCGUUAUCCGGAUUUACUGGGUGUAAAGGGAGCGUAGACGGCUGUGCAAGCCAGAUGUGAAAGCCCGGGGCUCAACCCCGGGACUGCAUUUGGAACUGUGUAGCUGGAGUGUCGGAGAGGCAGGCGGAAUUCCUAGUGUAGCGGUGAAAUGCGUAGAUAUUAGGAGGAACACCAGUGGCGAAGGCGGCCUGCUGGACGAUGACUGACGUUGAGGCUCGAAAGCGUGGGGAGCAAACAGGAUUAGAUACCCCCGUA